AUACCAUCACAAAUGGCGCCAUAAAUGUCUGAAGCAAACAAAAUUGUACAUACAAAUCUGAUGGUAAAUUUAAUCGAUUGAUUUCAAUUUAGCAAAAUUCCGCCGUUUUCUUUACCGUCGCGCCUACUUUUAAUGCAAGUAACUAUAGUUUAAGCUCCGAUAGCUUUAGCAAUACUGUGUCAAUGAAGAGAGAAAAUAAGACACGAAAGAGCCUCUAGGUGUAGAUCAUUGGUAUGAUAAAGGAAAUGAAACAUAUAAGACAGAUCUUUAUCGAUCGUAGUCAGUGAAAUGAAAAUGGAGGACCGCUCAGAUGAAUUCAAAAUAAGCUAGUAAAACCUGACGGAUGUUCAUGAUGGCGUUCGAGGGGAAGUCGUAUCAAAUCUUUCAAUAAGAUCUCAUUAUUAGUGGUUCGUUUUUUUAUUACAUUUUAGAUUAUUUUCCCUGAAAAUGUGCGAGCGUGGAAGAAGGAAGGAGGUUGCACAGAAACAAGGUAUGCUCUUAAAGCCGCUAUAUAAAACCGGUUCAGUUAAGUUGGGCAAGUGUGAUAGGAAAAAACGGUUUUAAAUAAUAGAUUAUCAAAAUGGCGGCAGCUUAGAUGCUCACAUCCACACAGCAACACUCGUUUCGUUUCAAUGAGUUUACAUUCGUAAUAUUUUGCACAGAAUGGUGGAAUAUCGCAAAUGUGAACAAUAAGAUAACGUUUUUCUAAACGAUGGCACUUUCCUAUAGACAAAAAAUAACGUUUAAAUGCCAUGUGGGACAGGUGUACAGGUUUUUUGCUUUAACACAGGAUACAGUCAUAAUGAUAGUUGCGAUUCAUUGUAUCGUACCCUCAUCCGUUCCAUGCAUCUAUGUACAUUAACAACAAUCUUGAGAAAGGAUGAUAUACAGUAUAAAUGAUAACAUAGAGAUGAUUACGAUUAAUGCGCUUUUAAACAGGAGAGCUAAAUGAAUUGAAACAUAGAGAGGAAGGAAUGAACAAAACACCGAACCCUGUACGGCACGGUACGCGGCGUUAAGAAAGGUUAGAAAGCGCAAAAGUAAAACUCUAGCAAACGUGUUCAACGAUUACGUGUUAAGAUUAAGUAGAAGCAAUAAGAUUCUUGAUGGAACCCGGAAAUCGCACCACAAAAGCAACUCCAGCUGCAACCGAUUAGCCGAUUGACUAAGACAACCGUUUCCGGUGGAUCCCGCUAUGGAAAAUGGAAAAUGGAAGAAAGAAGCUGACAGUGUAAAGGAAAAAUUUAAAGAAAAUUAUGCUUUUAAAAGUUAAAAGUGUCCCAUAUGUGCUAUCUGUUUAUGAGUUUCUGUGUUUAGUGAAAUUUACAAUCCUAUGUUUGGUUUCCAAUUAAGACUCCAAACAAUGACACUAAGAGGUUUAGACCGUGUGGCGAUAUCUGACAAUUGUGACUAAAUGGAGUUCACUAAACCAGAAAUGUUAAGUACUGAAGACCUCUCUUCAACAGUCUGAAUAAUGGGGAUCUGUUACCUAAGAGUAUGUUACGCGAAUGUUCUCUUUAAAUAGUUUUCGGUGAGUGUAAACGAGUGAUGUGACGAAAAUUUUGCAACGUCAUAAACUAUCCAGAAAUGAUUGAAGAAAUGAUCCUGAAGUGGGACAAGAAAAAUCUUUAUUUUGUGCGUUGCAGCUGAUGCGAACGUGAGGUUGAGCAAUUUGCUCUCUCUCUCCCUCAACGAAAAGGUAUAACUAAGCUCUACGGUUAACAUAGACAAGCACACUCCACACCUGAGAUGAUCCCUGAAGGCUGACAAUGUGUGGUAAGGCAGCGUGGUAUAAGCACUGAUCUAGUUGUAAAGGGAAAAAAACUCAAAAAACGGAGCGUUAGAAUGGAGUGGUAGGUGAAAUUACACAGCCACGUGAUAAUAUUCACGCGCCAGUAGGUUUUUAAGGAUGUGUAUAUUUGGUAAGGUUCGAUUACGGUAGAAAGAUUUUUUUUUGCAAUGCUCCAACAUUAAAAGAAUAUUGUAGACAAAUGCAAGGUAAUGUAAGAAUGAUCUAGAAGCUGAUAAGAGAAAGGAGAAGCGAGAGAGAGAGAAAGAGAGACACAUACAUAAAUAGAAGAAAACAAAAAGAAAACAUUUUUUAUUGUUUGGUUUUUAAGUUCAUAUCACUUCUAAUAUCGAAACAUAUGAUCGUCGUUGAGGAAUGUAAUUGCGUUAUGUGCCUAACGCUCUUCACCAAGCCACACUCAGGCAAAAUGAUGGAAAAAUGAUGUUGUGUAGCUUUCGUGUAUGUAACAGAUGCAAAAAUCUCCAUUUAUACGGUGCGGAUAAGCGAAAACCCCGGGCAAAAGAAGAAUGAGCAGAGUGUGCGAUGUUAAACCUCGAGUGGAACACAAAUAGUAGAAAUAUAACUAUAUUAAACAAGCAUGUAUUACGCUUCGAACCAACUAGAAAUGGAAAGUUCAUGUGGGUGAAUCAUUACCUUCAGGAAACGCAAGUUAUUACUACAUAAAGACGUAUAAAGAGUAAAACCGCAACACGUCUAAAGUACCAUGGGUGUAAAACUAAGUAUGUGUUUAUAUGCGUGUAUGUUAAAAAUUUGCUUGUAUAACACAAUAGAAAAGCACCUACAACACUGUAGACAUGAAUAUUCGAAAGUAUUUGCUUGUGUGAAACAUUUCAAGUGUAUUAGCAAUGGUUUCCUUUUUUGAUAUGUAUUUGGGAGGGGAAAAAUGUAUGUCCUGACGGUUAUUAUAACAAAACAAACAAACGAUUGGAAACUGUUUCCUUUGAAAGCUAAUAUACUACCACACAAACGCAUACAGUUGCUGGCUUUAACGUAGUUUGCUUCUGUCACGAAUCAAUGUGAAUGUAAAUGCGCGGUGAACAAAAAUCGAUUGUUUCGUCAUUUUGUAGCGAAAGGCACAAGAACAUAAACAAAAAUCUUAUAAAUGCAGGUCAUUUAAAGAACAACCGUAACAGAUAAAAAUAUAUAUCUGCCAUAAUGGAAGGAUCAUAAUAGAUUAGGUAUGAAGCGGUAUAAGGCGCAUAACAUUAUGAAAGUAAAAAAAUCACUUCCAAAUAAAUGCGUGUGGUAAAAGUUUACACACUCCAGCCAUACGCAUUGACGUCGUUGUCGUUGACACUUUCCAUUUUGGGCAAUUAUUACACUGUCGUAACACACACACGCAUACAUCCCUUGUACCAGAAAGAUGCAUUUAGCAGCAGCAUUUCACUUUAAAUGCCAUAUCCAUCGUCCUGUAUUUGUCGUUGGACAGGGGAAAGAGUGGAAAACAAAAUCAUACAAUAAUUAACGUUUAAGUGAAGCAAAAUAUUUUAAGGAUGCUGAUUGUGGUGGCGGCAAAACCAUAUGUGUAUGCGCACGGUAAACAUUUCAAGUGUAUCGUAACCGUUAAUAAUCACUUUCCGGUGUGAAGUAAUUGAAAGCCCAAAUUAUACGAACUGUCUGCUUGUGUGAUAUUGUCGUUUGUUUGAGUGAUAAAUACGAAUGAAUCCGUUUUGUCCAGUUUCGUCGAGCAGUCGAUAAAAAAAACACACACAAAAAGGAUCAAAGUUUAAGCAUAAAUUUAAAAUAAUUGUAUGAAAUUAUAAUACCACGAAUGGAAAUUUGACAACAUUAGUUUAGUCAAGCAAAACCAAACAUCAUAUAACGUUGUUCUUGCACAAGCAAAAUAUAACACAAGCGUACGUGUAAUCAGCAAAAGAAAAUGAGUUUUAUAUCAUAGUGGAAAUUAUCGUACGGGCUCACUAUAAUCAAGCCAGCAAGAGUCGACUAAAGUCUUUGCCAAACGCUCACUUUGUCAACGUUGCUCCUAUAUGUUACUGGCGUAGAACUUGUACUCACCCUUAGUCUUCACGGUAGUGUGCUUCGGUCUUCCGACAUUUGCGCUACUGUUCAACGUCACUCAAACAAACAGGGGCAGCUCAGGAAAGCUGCCCAACGAUCGUAUUCCGAAUGUGUUACGUUGCAUCUUUUUCCUUUUCCUAAAGCAAAUGAACAAUCUUAUUGAUCGUAAUUCUUACACUUAAACUGCCUGUUUGAAUUUGUCUCUAUCACAAACACAUACACAAUCCAUCAACAAAACCGUUUGCUUUCGAAUAUGCAAUAACAAUCACAGUAUGGUCCAGGAUAUAUACAUUCCCUAAAGUUUACCAAAAGCAAGCAAAGGUAGAAUAAAUAAAUUUUCUUUUAACGGAAACCAUUUUGACAAAAUAACAAAAACUCCCAUGCAAAAGGCGGAAGCAAAACAAAGGAACACUUUCGGUUUCAGCAACAACCAAAGCAGCAAGCCAGGUAGUGCGAACACAGGUUUACAGAUAAAAAAUGUAGGAAAUUAACAGAACAUAGGUGUAAUAAGUAAGUAGAUAAAACCAACAGUAAAACCACGGUAUCGUUGGUAAAUGAACCGUUCGGUUUGAAGCGCAAUAUUAUACACAACAAAAGGCAAACAUACAUGAGUUUCAGACUUCUUCCAUCUUGUUUGUGUGUAUGCUUGGGAAACGAUUUUUCGUUAAUCAAAUUGCAGUUGACGAUAAAAGGCGUAAAGGCGUGAUCAUAUUUGGAGCAUUUGAAAAAAAAAACACAAUAACAAAAAAGGCAGGAAACCAAACCUGUAUUUGUACUAUGUAAAUAGCAAAUUGUGAUUGUUGAUCAUUAUGUAAAGGAACAUGAUCCCGUAGUAUCCCAGUGGCAAGUUAGACAGGCGCAAACGAAACGAACCUUAAUAUUUGUCCAAAUACAUUGACCUCUGUAAACAAAAAAGGAAAGGAGAAAAUCGAUUUGGAAACAUUGUGAAGUACGCUCAGCGCGAAGAACGAAUCGAGGUGUUUAGCAGAAGUAGAAUGGCUGUUAAGAAAGGCAAUUUUAUAUGCAAAGAUUUGUAAAUCUUGAAUGGAUAAAAUGAUGGUAAAAUCGUAAGUAAACCGAACUGGAAACUGAAACUAGGACACGCAUCUGGAAUAACUCAUGACAGGCCAACGAAAUCGAAGUAAAAUUUAACACAAUAACACAACACAAACAUAACACAAUCAACACAUUUGUAUUCGCAUCGUAAACAUCGUAUCAGUGUAUAUAUUUGUAUAGUGAAAAAUAGUGAUAUAGCAAGUGAGAGAGAAAGCUGGAAUUAAAACAGUUUGAAAAAAGCACACAAAAACCAGUGCGAAAGUGUGUGAUGCAGAAUACAAUACACUAAAUCACACAACACACACGUAUGCAAACUAUCAGUGACACGUAAGUGAAACGAAUGGAGGGAAGGAAAAGUUUGCACACAGAACAACAUUCGUAUGUAUCAAACAAAAAAAAUAUAUAUACACAAGAAAAUAUAUACAUAAAUUGAACAGUGAUUGUACAAAAUGUAGAA